CUGGGAGUCAAGAUCCAAUUGUCCAGGACCGUGCGGGACCAAGGCCAAGAAACUGUCAACAGCCGUCCACCCUUUGCCGGACGGAGCCAAUAGGUUGGUCCAGCCCUGCCCUGGACAUCCUGGUGACGACUCAAGCUGAGGACUGAUCUGCACAGAAACGGAAGGCCUGAAGCCUGGAGACCGAGUGCUGAUUAAAAUCAUCAAAAGGAAAACUUGGAAAGCUCCGAGGUGGGAAGGACCCUACAAAGUGCAACUAACAACCCCCACUGCCGUGAAAAUCCAGGAGAGAGACACUUGGAUCCACCAGAGUCAUUGUAAACUGAUUAAAAACUUUCCACAGCAAAAAAGCCCAGUUACUUUCACAGGGACCCCACGACUAAGGUAUAGAUCUGUGGUGAAGUCCAGCUUCAAAGGGGUUUGGUUUUUUUAGGACCACUCGUCUCAACGCUGGUGAAAAGAACAACCUAACCCAGUCUUUUAGAGUCCGGUUAGUGGGUGUUUCCUUGGACGGACUGGCAAAGAUCUGAAAAACCAAAGUGGUUAUGCUGCCCGGUGAUGACUGUUGGACCGGUGUUCCUAGGAACUCAAACUGACUG